CAACCUGCCGCUUACUCGGGGAUAGCCUUUCGAAAGAAAGAUUAAUACCCGAUGGUAUAAAGAGUUCGCAUGUUCUCUUUAUUAAAGAAUUUCGGUAAGCGAUGGGGAUGCGUUCCAUUAGAUAGUUGGCAGGGUAACGGCCCACCAAGUCUACGAUGGAUAGGGGUUCUGAGAGGAAGGUCCCCCACAUUGGAACUGAGACACGGUCCAAACUCCUACGGGAGGCAGCAGUGAGGAAUAUUGGUCAAUGGACGCGAGUCUGAACCAGCCAAGUAGCGUGAAGGAUGACUGCCCUAUGGGUUGUAAACUUCUUUUAUAAGGGAAUAAAGUGAGGGACGUGUCCCUUUUUGUAUGUACCUUAUGGAUAAGGAUCGGCUAACUCCGUGCCAGCAGCCGCGGUAAUACGGAGGAUCCAAGCGUUAUCCGGAUUUAUUGGGUUUAAAGGGAGCGUAGGUUGACAUAUAAGUCAGCUGUGAAAGUUUACGGCUCAACCGUGAAAUUGCAGUUGAUACUGUAUGUCUUGAGUGUACAAGAGGUGGGCGGAAUUCGUGGUGUAGCGGUGAAAUGCUUAGAUAUCACGAAGAACUCCGAUUG
rnacentral:rRNA from 1 species